CAGAACACUUUGUUGAGCAGUUUUGAAAAUUUACCUGUUGGUGUACCCAACUUCAAUAAUCUCAAACUGAUGCUUGUCCUUGGAACACAGAUGCAUUGCUGUGAGGAAGGAAGUCCAGCAGCCAGCCUCAACUCCAAACAUGUAAGGGAACCUUUAAGCCACUACAGCUGACACGAAGUGAAGCAGAGACAAGCUGUUCUCAUCAAGCCCUGCCCAAAUUUCAGGUCCAAAACUUUGGAAAUACAUUUUCUCACAUCUGACAUCCCGUUUACUAGGAAACCUUGUUGGCUCUGUCUUCACAAAAUACCAAAUAUCUCACCACUUCUCACCACCUCCACUGAUACUGUGCUGGUUCAAGCCACUGUCUGGAUUAUUUCACAGCUUCUUAACAGGUCUCCUGUAUCUACAUUUUCUCUAUACAGUAACCAGUUGGAUGUUCUUCAAACACAGCCACAGCAACCACUUCGAUUCUCCUUAAACUUGCAAGGCACACUCCAGCCUUGGGUCCCUUGCUCUUGUCCUCUCUUCUGGAAUGCUCUUUCUCCAGCUAGCAAUAUAACAGAAAACUCUGAAAUGACAAGGACUUAAA